UACGUAGGGAGCAAGCGUUGUCCGGAAUCAUUGGGCGUAAAGAGCGUGUAGGCGGCCAGAUAAGUCCGCUGUGAAAUCUCGAGGCUCAACUUCGAGCUGUCGGUGGAAACUGUCUGGCUAGAGUCCGGAAGAGGAGAAUGGAAUUCCUGGUGUAGCGGUGAAAUGCGCAGAUAUCAGGAAGAACACCCGUGGCGAAGGCGGCUCUCUGGGACGGUACCGACGCUGAGACGCGAAAGCGUGGGGAGCGAACAGG
rnacentral:rRNA from 1 species